CGAGGAAAGAGUCAGGAUUAAUGUUCAAACGCCUGCUAUUAGAACCAACUCCAAAUGCUUUGCACUUAAGAUGACACAACAUGGGGGAUGCCAGGGAUUCCUGGAAUAUCCGCUGAGUGCACCCUGGGGGUCAAGCAAGACACAACAGUUGGUGUAAGGUAGCAAUGAAAAUGAUUCCGAAGU